UGGUUAGAAUGCCAGCCUGUCACGCUGGAGGUCGAGGGUUCGAGCCCCUUCCAGGUCGCCAAAAUAAAAAAUGCUGGUGUGGCUCAACGGUAGAGCAGCUGACUUGUAAUCAGCAGGUUGUAGGUUCGAUUCCUAUCACCAGCUUGGGGUUGCGGACAUAUCAUAACGAAGAGGUAUCGUAAUUGAAGAGGUUUGGAAAGACCCACCACAGAAGGUAAUAGUCCUGUAUGUUAAACGAGAAGACUUCAGAUAUGAUCCAGAGUACCACGGGACACGUGAAACCCUGUGGGAAGCAGGAGGGACCACCCUCCAAGGCUAAAUACUACCUAGUGACCGAUAGCGUAUAGUACCGUGAGGGAAAGGUGAAAAGAACCCCGGGAGGGGAGUGAAAUAGAACCUGAAACCCUGCACUUACAAGCUGUGGAAGCACAUUUCUUGUGUGACCGCGUACUUUUUGUAGAACGGGCCAACGAGUUACGUUAAGUAGCAAGGUUAAGCACUUAAGGUGCGGAGCCGUAGCGAAAGCGAGUUUUAACUGAGCGUUCAGUUACUUGACGUAGACCCGAAACCGGGCGACCUACCCAUGAGCAGGAUGAAGCGAAAGUAAAAUUUCGUGGAGGUCCGAACCCACGAGCGUUGAAAAGCUCGGGGAUGACUUGUGGGUAGCGGUGAAAUUCCAAUCGAGCCCGGAGAUAGCUGGUUCUCCCCGAAAUAGCUUUAGGGCUAGCCUCAAGGUGAGAGAUACGGAGGUAGAGCACUGAAUGUCCUAGGGGGUAUUGCACCUACCGAAGACUAUCAAACUCCGAAUGCCGUCAUCUUAUACUUGGGAGUCAGACUGUGGGUGAUAAGAUUCAUAGUCGAAAGGGCAACAGCCCAGAUCGUCAGCUAAGGUCCCUAAAUGUAAGUUAAGUGGUAAAGGAUGUGGGAUUGCACAGACAACCAGGAUGUUGGCUUAGAAGCAGCCACUCAUUCAAAGAGUGCGUAAUAGCUCACUGGUCGAGUGAUCCUGCGCCGAAGAUUUCCGGGGCUAAAACUUACUACCGAAGCUACGGCAUCAGUAAUGAUGGGUAGGGGAGCUUCCCAUACGGGUUGAAGCAUGACCGUAAGGACAUGUGGACAGUAUGGGAGUGAGAAUGUUGGCAUGAGUAGCGAGAUGUGGGUGAGAAUCCCACAGGCCGUAAACCCAAGGUUUCCAGGGGAAGGUUCGUCCGCCCUGGGUUAGUCGGGACCUAAGCUGAGGCCGAAAGGCGUAGGUGAUGGACAACAGGUUGAUAUUCCUGUACUACCGAUAACCGUUUGAGAGAAGGGAUGACACAGUAGGAUAAGCUAAGCACACUGUUGGUUAUGUGUGCCCAAGCAUUGAGGCAGUCAAAGCAGGCAAAUCCGCUUUGAUAAUGCUGGGAUGUGAUGGGGAGCGAAAUUUAGUAGCGAAGUAGCUGAUUUCACACUGUCAAGAAAAGUCUCUAUCGAGGUUAAAGGUACCCGUACCGCAAACCGACACAGGUGGGUGAGGAGAGUAUCCUAAGGCCAGCGAGAGAACUGUUGUUAAGGAACUCGGCAAAAUGACCCCGUAACUUAGGGAUAAGGGGUGCCACCAUCCGGUGGCCGCAGAGAAUAGGCCCAAGCGACUGUUUACCAAAAACAUAGGUUUCUGCUAAGUCGCAAGACGAUGUAUAGGAGCUGACGCCUGCCCGGUGCUGGAAGGUUAAGGGGAUCUGUUAGAGCAAUCGAAGCAGUGAACUUAAGCCCCAGUAAACGGCGGCCGUAACUAUAACGGUCCUAAGGUAGCGAAAUUCCUUGUCGGGUAAGUUCCGACCCGCACGAAAGGCGUAACGAUUUGGGCACUGUCUCAACAACAGACUCGGUGAAAUUGUAAUUCCGGUGAAGAUGCCGGAUACCUGCGACAGGACGGAAAGACCCCAUGGAGCUUUACUGUAGCUUGACAUUGGGUCUUGGUACUACAUGUACAGGAUAGGUGGGAGGCUUUGAAACCAGGACGCCAGUUUUGGCGGAGCCAUCCUUGGGAUACCACCCUUGUAGUACUGGGACUCUAACCAUAGGCCAUGAAUCUGGUCUUGGGACACUGUCAGGUGGGCAGUUUGACUGGGGCGGUCGCCUCCCAAAAGGUAACGGAGGCGCUCAAAGGUUCUCUCAGUACGGUCGGAAAUCGUACGUAGAGUGUAAAGGCAAAAGAGAGCUUGAUUGCAAGACAUACAGGUCGAGCAAGGAUGAAAAUCGGACUUAGUGAUCCGGUGGUUCUGCGUGGAAGGGCCAUCGCUCAACGGAUAAAAGCUACCCUGGGGAUAACAGGCUUAUCUCCCCCAAGAGUCCACAUCGACGGGGAGGUUUGGCACCUCGAUGUCGGCUCAUCACAUCCUGGGGCUGUAGUAGGUCCCAAGGGUUGGGCUGUUCGCCCAUUAAAGUGGUACGCGAGCUGGGUUCAGAACGUCGUGAGACAGUUCGGUCCCUAUCCGUCGCAGGCGUAGGAAAUUUGAGAAGACCUGUCCUUAGUACGAGAGGACCGGGAUGGACGUACCUCUGGUGUACCAGUUGUUCUGCCAAGGGCAUGGCUGGGUAGCUAUGUACGGAAUGGAUAAGCGCUGAAAGCAUCUAAGCGCGAAGCCAACUUCAAGAUAAGAUUUCCCACCGCAAGGGUAAGACCCCAGAAAGACUAUCUGGUUGAUAGGUCGAAGGUGUAAGUGCAGCAAUGUAUUUAGCUUAUCGAUACUAAUAGGUCGAGGACUUGACCAAU
rnacentral:rRNA from 1 species